AUUGAACGCUAGCGGCAGGCCUAACACAUGCAAGUCGAGCGGAUGAAGGGAGCUUGCUCCUGGAUUCAGCGGCGGACGGGUGAGUAAUGCCUAGGAAUCUGCCUGGUAGUGGGGGAUAACGUCCGGAAACGGGCGCUAACACCGCAUACGUCCUGAGGGAGAAAGUGGGGGAUCUUCGGACCUCACGCUAUCAGAUGAGCCUAGGUCGGAUUAGCUAGUUGGUGGGGUAAAGGCCUACCAAGGCGACGAUCCGUAACUGGUCUGAGAGGAUGAUCAGUCACACUGGAACUGAGACACGGUCCAGACUCCUACGGGAGGCAGCAGUGGGGAAUAUUGGACAAAGGGCGAAAGCCUGAUCCAGCCAUGCCGCGUGUGUGAAGAAGGUCUUCGGAUUGUAAAGCACUUUAAGUUGGGAGGAAGGGCAGUAAGUUAAUACCUUGCUGUUUUGACGUUACCAACAGAAUAAGCACCGGCUAACUUCGUG
rnacentral:rRNA from 1 species